rnacentral:rRNA from 1 species
GCUCUACAACCCUUUGUGAACAUACCUACAACUGUUGCUUCGGCGGGUAGGGUCUCCGCGACCCUCCCGGCCUCCCGCCUCCGGGCGGGUCGGCGCCCGCCGGAGGAUAACCAAACUCUGAUUUAACGACGUUUCUUCUGAGUGGUACAAGCAAAUAAUCAAAACUUUUAACAACGGAUCUCUUGGUUCUGGCAUCGAUGAAGAACGCAGCGAAAUGCGAUAAGUAAUGUGAAUUGCAGAAUUCAGUGAAUCAUCGAAUCUUUGAACGCACAUUGCGCCCGCCAGCAUUCUGGCGGGCAUGCCUGUUCGAGCGUCAUUUCAACCCUCAAGCUCUGCUUGGUGUUGGGGCCCUACAGCCGAUGUAGGCCCUCAAAGGUAGUGGCGGACCCUCCCGGAGCCUCCUUUGCGUAGUAACUUUACGUCUCGCACUGGGAUCCGGAGGGACUCUUGCCGUAAAACCCCCCAAUUUUCCAAAGGUUGACCUCGGAUCAGGUAGGAAUACCCGCUGAACUUAAGCAUAUCA